rnacentral:rRNA from 1 species
GUAGGUGGCAAGCGCUGUCCGGAUUUAUUGGGUUUAAAGGGUGCGUAGGUGGCCCUGUAAGUCAGUGGUGAAAUAUCUCAGCUUAACUGAGAGGGUGCCAUUGAUACUGCAGGGCUUGAGUACAGAUGAGGUAGGCGGAAUUGACGGUGUAGCGGUGAAAUGCAUAGAUAUCGUCAAGAACACCGAUAGCGAAGGCAGCUUACCAAGCUGUAACUGACACUGAGGCACGAAAGUGUGGGGAUCAAACAGGAUUAGAUACCCUGGUAGUCCACACUGUAAACGUUGAUGACUCGAUGUUGGCGAUACACAGCCAGCGUCUUAGCAAAAGCGAUAAGUAAUCCACCUGGGGAGUACGCCGGCAACGGUG